rnacentral:piRNA from 1 species
AGUUUUUGUAUUGGAAGGGCUCG